rnacentral:rRNA from 1 species
GAUGAACGCUGGCGGCGUGCCUAAUACAUGCAAGUCGAGCGAACGGACGAGAAGCUUGCUUCUCUGAUGUUAGCGGCGGACGGGUGAGUAACACGUGGAUAACCUACCUAUAAGACUGGGAUAACUUCGGGAAACCGGAGCUAAUACCGGAUGAUAUUUUGAACCGCAUGGUUCAAAAGUGAAAGACGGUCUUGCUGUCACUUAUAGAUGGAUCCGCGCUGCAUUAGCUAGUUGGUAAGGUAACGGCUUACCAAGGCAACGAUGCAUAGCCGACCUGAGAGGGUGGUCGGCCACACUGGAACUGAGACACGGUCCCGACUCCUACGGGGGGCAGCAGUAGGGAAUCUUCCGCAAUGGGCGAAAGCCUGACGGAGCAACGCCGCGUGAGUGAUGAAGGUCUUCGGAUCGUAAAACUCUGUUAUUAGGGAAGAACAUAUGUGUAAGUAACUGUGCACAUCUUGACGGUACCUAAUCAGAAAGCCACGGCUAACUACGUG